rnacentral:ncRNA from 1 species
CGGGGACUGUAAACGCAGACGCGUUUAGAGUACCUAGCCAUUAUUAUCAGUUUUUUCUUGAAUUACACAUGCAAGUCUCAGCACACCCGUGAGGACACCCUUAAACCCUUAACCAGACUAAGGAGCCGGCAUCAGGCGCAACAUCUGCCCACAACGCCUAGUCCCACCACGCCCCCAAGGGCAUUCAGCAGUGAUAAAUAUUGCUAAUAAGCGACAGCUUGACCCAGUUAAAGAAGAUAGAGCCGGCUAACUCGGUGCCAGCCGCCGCGGCUAAACCGCACGGGCUCAAACUGAUAGUUAUCGGCGUUAAGCGUGAUUAAAGUCCCCCUACAAUUAGAGUAGAACCUAUACUUAGCUGUGAAAAGCUUGAACUAGGGAAAAAUCAUAAACGAAAGUUACUCUAAUAAAUCACUUGAAUACACGACAGCUAGGAAACAAACUGGGAUCAGAUACCCCACUAUGCCUAUCCGUAAAAUAUUAAUUCACACCCACCAACGCCAGGGUAUUACAAGCCUUAGCUUAAAACCCAAAGGACUUGACGGUGUCCCAUCCACCUAGAGGAGCCUGUUCCAUAAUCGAUAAUCCCCGCUAUACCUAACCACCCCUUGCCAAUCAGUCUGUAUACCUCCGUCGUAAGCUUACCAUAUGAAUGCCUACAGUAAGUUUAAUGGCCACAAGCACCAAUACGUCAGGUCAAGGUGCAGCUUAUGAGAUGGUGGACAAUGGGCUACAGUUUCUAUACUAGAACAAACGAAACGCUGCAUGAAACACAGCCACGAAGGCGGAUUUAGUAGUAAAAAGAAAAUAGUGUGUUCUUUUUAACUAGGCCCUGGGACGUGUACACACGCGCGCGCCCCCCCUCUU